AACGGCUUUGUAUUGGAUCCAUAAUUUUGUAACGAUUAGUUCCGAUAUCUCAUUAAAAGAUACAGAAACUUGAACCCAUUACUCUUUCCUGCAUUCCAUUGUUGUAAAAUAUAGAUUCAUAAUUAAGUCCCAUCUAGUAUCGAGUAAACAUCCUUGAUCCAGUAUAUUUGUAUUAAGAAUAUCAACAGAUUUACAUAAAAGACCACUAUAAGACAAUUAAAAAAAGGACAAAGAUGUGUGGAUGGUCAAGCUUGUUGCAUUUGUAAUGCUCUCAGUUACUGGCUUAGAAUGCAGAGGUUACUUUCAUGAAGUCUAGAGCAAUGCUCAACAACAUUAUUUAGGAUAUGAGGUGUGAACAAUUUCAUUUCAUAAGUGUAAAACUUGGAAGUAAAGAAUUCCGUAGAAGUAUGCAUCAAAUUAUAGUUUGACAUAUUUUCAGCAGCAAAUUAAAGAAAAAUUUCUCAGUCUUACUUAAUUAAUAAUAAGAGGCCUGUAUUAUGAUGGCAGUUAUGUUUUCUGUAAAACAUACUUUAAUUAAAGAAAGUGAUUAUAUUGUUAA